rnacentral:rRNA from 1 species
CACAUGGGUUUUUGUCAGGCAACGAGCGAGACCCACACUCCUAAUUGCCAGCAGUACCCUUGUGGUGGCUGGGUACAUUAGGAGGACUGCCGCUGCCAAAGCGGAGGAAGGAAUGGGCAACGGUAGGUCAGCAUGCCCCGAAUGUGCUGGGCUACACGCGGGCUACAAUGGUCGAGACAAUGGGUUGCAACCCCGAGAGGGGGCGCCAAUCUCCGAAACUCGAUCGUAGUUCGGAUUGAGGG